rnacentral:lncRNA from 1 species
UGGCACAUGCCUGUAGUCCUGGCUACUUGGGAGGCUGAGGCAGGAGGAUAGCUUGAGCCCAGGAGUUUGAGGUUAUGGUGAGCUAUGAUCACACCAGUGUGCUCCAGCGUGGGUGAUACAGAGUGAGACCCUGUCUCUAUAAAGUGACAACUACAAAAACAAACAUUUGCUGACAUAAUCACAAUGUCAUUGUUACACUUUACAUAAUUGACAACAGUUCUCUGACAUCAGCUGGUCAUAGUCACCUCUCCUAGAUGGGCCACAGAAGUCUUUCUAGACUUGGUUUGUCACCUCAGGACCCAGUGAGACUCACACAUUCAUUAUGUUUGGCUGUUAGGCCUCUUAGGUUCCUUUUAACUAGGGUGAUUGUAUAAUUAGUGUCUAAAUUGGGAACCUUGUGAGAAUGAAAUGAAAGGGGGCCAUAUAUGUGGCCACACAGGGGCAGCAAAUGUACACUGGGAUGGCCCUGGGUCCUUGGCCACUUCUGUUGAAGUCCCCUUUGAGGAGGGAUAGCCUGUCUGGUGUCGUCCUCUGGCAAGUCCCACUUCCCGGGUUUGCGUCUGUUACGGUCUGCUGGUGGGUUGCUUCCUCCUCUGCCUGUAUUUCUUGGACAGUUGCUCUAAAGCUCGAUUGGAUUCAGGCUCAGUUCCUUCAGUAUAUUUGUGUUCGUGGGUGCCUACACUAGUGUGGGGCUACUCACUUCUGUGUCACAUGGAGAGGCCCAGCUUGCCUGGGGGUCCCACUUUCUGGAGCAUUGAGAGUGAGCCCUCCACUGAUUGUUGGACCAACAGCACCUGUAGCCCCCCAAGACACCAAGAAGACGAGAAAGAAGCCAAGACAGAAGAAACCAGAACCCAACCUCUUGUGGGACCGGUUGACCUCCCCAUGCCUGCCACCAACCCUGCUGCCACCUCUGCCGCUACCACCACCAUGGUCUCCGUGGUGACCUCAUCACCCCCUGGCACCUGGGGCUGCCUUGCUUGCCUAAAGCCAACAUUGAAUAAUAUUCCAUUGCCUGGAUAUGCCACAUUUUAUCAUUCGCCCAAUGAAGGAUAUCCUGGUUGCCUCCAAGUUUUGCAAUUAUGAAUAAAGCAG